ensembl:lncRNA
CACUCCCCCUCCCCCCCGCGCCUCCUCAUGGGUAAAGGCUCCCAUGAGGAGUCAAUGAAGUCUGGCUCAAAGGGGAAGGUUUAAGAACGAGGGACUCUGAUAUGGCAGCCCCUUCUUUUGCUUUCAUCUUUGGUUUGCUGUACUUACUGCUGUCUCACCUGCUGGCUAGGUCGCUCUUACUUUGACAGGUUAUCAGUCUCUGCACUAACUGUUGCUACACAGAGGAUGAUUGGCCAAAGGAGAGAACAGCAGAAAUCUGUGACUAUGAACACAAAUAUUUAGAAGGCUAUUUGCCAGCAUAUCCAUGUAUAAAAUAGCAGUAGUAGUUUUCUCACUACAGCCUAUAAUCUCCCAAACAAUCGUCCCUUGACAAGAUUUAUGUUAUUUCGUGUGGAUUCCCUCAUGUGGAACAGCCUUCAGAUCCAAUUGGGAAAAAAAGACCAUUCAAAAACCACUCAAAAUGUGGUGAGAACCCCAUCACUCUGUUUCAAUGGGCUGUGAUAUAACACACAAAACAUUUUUAGAAAAUAAAAAUCUCACGGUGCUUCUUUGUUUAUAUGGUGAAUUACAUUGCCAGAUUUCCAUAUGUUGAACCAACCCUGCAUCUCUAGGAUGAAGCCUACUUGGUCAUGGUGGAUGAUUUUUUAAAAUGUGUUCUUGGAUUUGGUUUGCCAGUAUUUUAUUGAGUAUUUUUGCAUCGAUGUUCACGAGGGAGAUUGGUCUGUAGUUCUCUUUCUUUAUUGCAUCUUUGUGUGGUUUGGGUAAUUUUAGCCUCAUAAAAAGUUUGACAAUGUUCCUUCUGUUUCUAAUGUGUGUAGCAAUUUGAGGAGUAUUGGAGUUAGCUCUUUGAACUUUUGAUAGAAUUCUGUUCUGAAGCCUUUUGGUCCUGGAAUUAAAAGUUGGGAGACUUUUAAUUACUGCUUCUAUUUCCUUAUGGAGAUGGCCAACUAAGGCAGGGAUGGAUGCAGUGGAGAGCAAUGAAAGAGAUAUAUUAAUGGAGAGAGAUACUAUGGGGUUAGAGAGAAACCUGGUGCUAGGGAAACUCCCAAGAAUCUACAAGGAGGACCUCAUCUAAGACUCUUAGCAAUAGUAGAGAGGAUGCCUAAACUGGCCUAUCUUUCUAUCAGAUUGAUGGAUACCCUAACUAUCAUCAUUGAGUAAUUGAUGGAACCAGAUGCAGAGAUCCACAACCAAGAACCAGGCUGAGCUCUAGAAAUUCAGUUGAAUCUAGGAGGGAACAUAUGGGCAAGGGGAAUUGUGAAGCUUGGACUAUCUGAGGGACCCACAGCAGUGGGAUCAUGAUAUAAUCCCAGUACAUGAGAGAGCUUGAUGGAGCCUACUCCUCAUCGUGGGAUGACAUGCUCAGCCUUAAAUCAUGGGAAAGGGGCCUGGGGUCUGCACCAACCUGCUAUGUUGACUCCUCAUGAGAGUCCUUACCUGUGAGGAGAAGUGGACUAGGGGUGGUCCAUGAGGGAGGUGAAGGGGGACAGGAGGAGGAGUGGGAGGGAGAACUGUGCUUGGAAUAUAAAGUGAAACCAAAAAAAUAAAACCUGGGGAAAAAAAGAAAGGAAACCUGGUUCAGCAUGACUUAGUUAGCUGGGCUUUUUCAAACUUAUGGAGUCUGACCCUGAGCAGUUUAGUUUUUGCAUAUUUAAAUACAGCAAAACUUUGGGGGAAGAGUUUCUGCAUGACAAUUAUCACAACAAAGCUCAAAGUGUGAUUCCAUGCAAACUCCAUGUGUCCAUUGGGAAGCACCUGUGGCUUCUUCCGCAAGAAUGAGUUCUGCUGAUAAUGCUCAGGACAAGGGCUUAGGAAGAAAGGGUCUGUCAUAAACAUAAGGAUGGGUUCAAUUGAAUAUGACCCAAUGUUCAGGACAAGAGCAUAGGGAAGAAUGGUUUGUAAUAAGCAUAAUAGCAAACUAUUUUGCAAAGUACAUGGGACCUCUGACAUAAGGAUGGGCUCUAUAAGCUGAGAAACAGUGCUCGGAAUGAAAAUGGUUUGGGUGAGGUCUGGCUCAACAGAAUAGCAAAAGAUCACCAGAUUAUAAACAACAUCCACUGCAACCUUCCAGGUGAACAGAUAUCAGUUUCUUCUAUUGAAGAAAAAAGCCCAUGUGUUUAACAAUUCUGUUUUCUCUGGUGCUAUCUUUAGUCAUGUGGGCCUCAUGCCCCAUCACUCCAGUAAUAAUGGCUGUUGUCAAGGAAACAAACAAUCAAACAAACAAAAAACAAACACAAAUACUGGCCAGAGUGUGGGGAAAGAGAAACCUUGCAACACUGCGAGUGGGACUGGAAAAUGAUGCAUACAUAACAGCCACGGUGGAAAUCAGUAUGAGGGCUCUGCAACAAACCAGAAAACUGAACAACUAUAUAGUCCUGAGUAUCAGACUCGGAAGACUUGAAGGAAUAUACCACAGGCAUGCUUAUAUGCCAUGCUCAUUGCUGUACAAUUCAUAGUAGCCAAUGUAUUGGAACCAGUCUAAAGACCCAUCAACAGCUGAACAAAUAGAGAAACUAUAGGUCUAUGAAGAUAACUCAGUAAACAACUAUAGGAAUUCAGAUCACAUCAUCCAUUUUUUUUAAGUUAGGCAUGGUCAUGAGCACUUGUCACCCUAGUGGUGGAGGGGCAGAGACAGAACCCUGGAAAUAUAACAGUGAGACUUACAGAGCCAGCCUCUGAGGGGAAAGGAGUACUUGUCAGUAGGAACGGUGAUAGCCAAUUUCCUAACAAGCUGUCCUUGUACCCUUCAGGUGAGAACUGGGUGGGGUGUCUGGAUGUCCCACAUCCAUUUGAUCAUUUAUUGGUUCUUGGUUCUCAAAAUAUUGGGCAUGGAACCAGGUGUUAUUUUGGUUUCUGGUGACCCUAAGACUAUCACAGGCAAUGAGCAUCAGCUGAUGGAUAUGGGAGCGUGGUAAAGCAGUACAUGUGAAAAGAGUUAAGCUUGACCUAGGGAUAGGUACUUCUUCCCUAUGUAUAUUGUAUGCAUUUCUCUGCUGGUCAUAAAUAUUUAAUUACUCAACCAGAGCUCCUUUAAGAAAGCAACAGAAAGUCUUGUUGACUACAGUUGCUGUGCAAAACCAGCCAAGGGUCUACCAGCUUCAGAUAUUUGGUGGAUCUAGCCUUGGCAGCCAGGUGAGUGAAGCUGUGGUAGCCAGGUUGCAUUCCUAGUUUUGGAUCUAGCCUAACAGCUGGAACUAGUCCUACUGAGUUUAUUUGGGAUAAAGAAAGUCAGGAAGACCUUAGGAAUGUGCCCCAGAAUGGUGAAGGCAGACCAUUGCUACAGUGGAUGGAAAAUUUUCAAGCUUUGAAUGUUAAAAUUGUUAACAUUAUAUGUUAGUAUCUCCUUACUUUCAAACAUCUGGGAUCACCUGACAUGUGCCUGGAAUUGAUGACAGUGGGUUUCCUGAGUACUUUACCAGGAUUUGUGAAAGCUUUUGUUAUCCUGUGUCUCCUAAGGAAAGAGAAUUUGUAACAUAGAUGCCAUAAUGGGAACCUCUGAGCAAUUUUCAGGUUUAGAACAUGUUUGAGAGAUAUAUAAGAGCAUCUUAAGAGUUAAGAAUGAGUAAUCUGUUUGCAAAGGGUGCAAGGACAGGAGAAGCUCUGAAAUUCUUUGUAGCUCUAUGGUUUGGUAAAGAUACCCAUCAAGAUUAUGGAGAAGAUUCUGCAACAGCGCAUAUUUGGCAGUGUUAAAAGAGUGAACAAAGGUACCUUGAUAGUAGAACCAAGUAGUUCUGGAAGCUGUUAGUUUAUAGACCGAUGUUGCUUCUCUACCAGCUAUUGGUCUCAGAUGCCAUAGAGGACCCUAAAAUGAUAAAGAAUAUUGCCACUGUUGGCUACCUGCAUAACUAGAUAGUAAGGUUCUCUAUUGCUGAAGACACUGCACUGUUGUAGGUCGUGGAGGACUCAAGAUGGGACUGAGCUGAAAGUGUCCCUCCCUGGUCAUUAGAUUAGUGAGGAAAGAUGCUAGUAAGGCUGCUGAGAAUUAUGGCCAAGAGUCCUAAUUAUCUUUCGACUCUGCAUGCUAAACUGUAGAAUAACAGGCAAGAUGUGCCCACAAGUGUAGUAGUGGCACAUAUUAGGUAUAAGGAGAACUGGAAGGAAAUGUGCCAAAAUACAAAAUGGCUGGUGAUGUUCAGAGGUUAGCUUACAUUUUCUUUAUAUCUAGCUUCAUUUUACAAAAUCUCAGUUAUUAGCAUGCAUUACAUCCAUUAUUAGGGAAAGGAAGCCUGUGCUAGUCACUCUUGCACUGUUAUAAAACCCCAUAACCAAGUCAGGUCAUGGAAGAAAGAGUUUAAUUGGUCUUAAGGUUCCAGAAGGAUGACUCCACCAUGAUGAAGAAGAUUGCAGCAAGUACAGAUGUGGCCUGGGGCAGCAAUGUCAGCUUUCACACGAUGAACUCCAGCACACAGAGAGAAAACAACCUGGAAGUGAGGGAUGAUUUUAGCUCUGAAAACUUAUUCCAGUGACACAUGGCCUCCAGCAAGUCUAUACAUCCCCUACAUGUCCCCAAACAGCACCAGAAACUGAGAGUCAACCAAUAAAAUGCAGAGUCUAUGGGAGACAUUCUCAUUUAAACAGCCUUAAUGAAAUUUUUAAGGAUGUUCCACAUCUCAAAUUCUCUGGUUCUGCUCUUUUAAUCAACCUACUGGUUCCAUUUGGCACCAAAGGAACAAGUAAAGAAAGGGGUCUGGGAUGCAGGAAACAGAGUACCUACUUAGUAUAUUUGAGGUUCCUGCAAAAUCAUCAGCAUUGCAAAAAGAAGAAAAGGAAGAGGAAGAAGGAGGAG